rnacentral:sRNA from 1 species
CGAAAUAUGGGCAGUAACAGAUCGUAGUGUCAUUAUUGGUGAUUGUAGGUUUGCUCGUCCCGACAACAACCAGCCGAUCACAUGAUGAUCGCUGAGUGUACAUACCAAUCGGGAACUUCGACAACAGCUGCUUUCUUCGCAGCUUGCUUCGCCCGGCAUUCCCCCUUUUCUCGCUCAGCCUAUUUUCCUCCAGUAUCCUUGUCCGUGGUUUGCCGUAUUCUCAAAUGUCAAAUCCUCGUCCAUAUCCAUCGCGCUGUCAUUGAGUUUCUUUUUGGCUCUUGACACUUUAGAGGCAGCUCCGUGGUUUGAUUUUGCGGCCACCUUGUCAGCCUUGGAUUUUCUAGAUUUCCUAGUCUUGGAAGGAAUGGAAGGUUGUAUGCGCAUCGCAAACGCUUUGCCUGGCCCACCUGGAUUAAAUUUCUGGAGAUUGGCCCUUUGUCUUUCAAGGAGGCUAUAGCCAGCAUUAGCUAGAUAAAGACUUAAAUCUACGGCACUGAUAGCUUUUUGCUUUCCUUUGGACCUAGAUUGAUUUGCACUGCUUGAAGACAUGUGCCUAGUAUGUUGCAAGUUUUGAGCAGGAUUGGCAGAACUGCUCCCAACAGCGUUAAGCAACGGAUAUUUAUGGUCCACAGGAAUCAGCAAAAGAGCGAUCAAAGAUAGGCUCAUCACACUCACUAUGAUCGAUCACUUUUCCAUUAUAUUCUACUCUCAGCCGCUCGGCUUCAACCUGCGUAUCUACACUUACUACAGCGAUGCCCAGAAAAU